rnacentral:misc_RNA from 1 species
GUUUUUGCCUACGGAGUUAUUUAGAUUCUGUAAGUGCUUGCAAUAUUAUGGGAUUUUGUCAUCUUCCAGAUUUAUAUGCACUAUUAUGCAUCAAGAGAGUAAUAAUUUGCUUCUGUACAAAUCUACCAUAGAAAAACUCCCAGGUUAGCUUUUACUUUUGUGUUGUAGGAUUAUUUCUCGUUUGAUUCUCAGAUUUGGGUUUUCCAGUUUUCUCGACUUGAUUGUUUUUGCUUCCGAAGGAACUUGGGCUUUUUUUUUUUUUUUU